rnacentral:rRNA from 1 species
UACGUAGGGUGCGAGCGUUGUCCGGAAUUAUUGGGCGUAAAGAGCUUGUAGGCGGUUUGUCGCGUCUGCUGUGAAAUUUCGGGGCUCAACCCCGAACUUGCAGUGGGUACGGGCAGACUAGAGUGUGGUAGGGGAGACUGGAAUUCCUGGUGUAGCGGCGAAAUGCGCGGAUAUCAGGAGGAACACCGGUGGCGAAGGCGGAUCUCUGGGCCAUUACUGACGCUGAGGAGCGAAAGCGUGGGGAGCGAACAGG